AUGGCCUGGCAGCAGGGUCGCCUGGGAAGGCUUCACCGACGCUCCAACGCGGACCUCGUCGCCGAGCAUGAGAUUUGGGCUGCCGUUGAUCCGUUCACAAAGAACGAGCCUUUCAAUUGCAGCAAUGGGGAUGUAUUCAAGUGGAAGCAGCUCUGGCCGAUGCUGGCUGAUCAUUUCGGGUUGGAAUGGGCAAGGUACGAGGGAGAGGACGGCCGGUUCAUCAUUGCCGACGCCAUGGCCCGGAAGGAGGCGGUGUGGGCGGAGAUCGUACAGGAGAAUGAGCUUGUCACUACUGCUCAAGGAGAUCACCAACUGGUGGUUUGUCGACGCCGUGUUAAAUUUUGA
rnacentral:rRNA from 1 species